CUUAAGCAUAUCAAUAAGCGGAGGAAAAGAAACCAACAGGGAUUGCCCUAGUAACGGCGAGUGAAGCGGCAACAGCUCAAAUUUGAAAUCUGGCGCAAGCCCGAGUUGUAAUUUGUAGAGGAUGCUUCUAGGUAGCGACCGGUCUAAGUUCCUUGGAACAGGACGUCAUAGAGGGUGAGAAUCCCGUAUGUGACCGGCCCGCACCUUCUACGUAGCUCCUUCGACGAGUCGAGUUGUUUGGGAAUGCAGCUCUAAAUGGGAGGUAAAUUUCUUCUAAAGCUAAAUACCGGCCAGAGACCGAUAGCGCACAAGUAGAGUGAUCGAAAGAUGAAAAGCACUUUGGAAAGAGAGUUAAAAAGCACGUGAAAUUGUUGAAAGGGAAGCGCUUACAACCAGACUUCUGGGCGGUGUUCCGCCGGUCUUUUGACCGGUCUACUCGCCGUCCCGAGGCCAACAUCAUCUGGGACCGCUGGAUAAGACCUCAGGAAUGUAGCUUCCCUCGGGAAGUGUUAUAGCCUGUGGUGAUGCAGCGCGUCUCGGGUGAGGUCCGCGCUUCGGCAAGGAUGUUGGCGUAAUGGUUGUCAGCGGCCCGUCUUGAAACACGGACCAAGGAGUCUAACAUCUAUGCGAGUGUUCGGGUGUCAAACCCCUACGCGUAAUGAAAGUGAACGGAGGUGGGAAGGGUAACCUGCACCAUCGACCGAUCCUGAUGUCCUCGGAUGGAUUUGAGUAAGAGCAUAGCUGUUGGGACCCGAAAGAUGGUGAACUAUGCCUGAAUAGGGUGAAGCCAGAGGAAACUCUGGUGGAGGCUCGCAGCGGUUCUGACGUGCAAAUCGAUCGUCAAAUUUGGGUAUAGGGGCGAAA
rnacentral:rRNA from 1 species